UACAGAGGUCUCAAGCGUUGUUCGGAUUCAUUGGGCGUAAAGGGCGCGUAGGCGGCGCGGUAAGUCGGGUGUGAAAUCUCGGGGCUUAACUUCGAAACUGCAUUCGAUACUGCCGUGCUUGAGGACUGGAGAGGAGACUGGAAUUUACGGUGUAGCGGUGAAAUGCGUAGAUAUCGGAAGGAAGACCAGUGGCGAAGGCGGGUCUCUGGACAGGUCCUGACGCUGAGGCACGAAGGUCAGGGGAGCAAACGGG
rnacentral:rRNA from 1 species